rnacentral:rRNA from 1 species
UACGGAAGGGGCAAGCGUUGUUCGGAAUCAUUGGGCGUAAAGGGCGCGUAGGUGGUUCUGUAUGUCUACCGUGAAAGCGUACGGCUCAACCGUAUUUUGUCGGUGGAAACUGCAGGACUUGAGGCUGGGAGGGGCUGGUGGAAUUCCCUGUGUAGCGGUGAAAUGCGUAGAGAUGGGGGAGAACACUCGUGGCGAAGGCGGCCAGCUAGACCAGUUCUGACACUGAGGCGCGACAGCGUGGGGAGCAACAGG